CACGUAGGGUGCGAGCGUUGUCCGGAAUUAUUGGGCGUAAAGAGCUCGUAGGCGGUGUGUCGCGUCGGCCGUGAAAACCUGCAGCUUAACUGUGGGCUUGCGGUCGAUACGGGCAUCACUGGAGUUCGGUAGGGGAGACUGGAAUUCCUGGUGUAGCGGUGAAAUGCGCAGAUAUCAGGAGGAACACCCGUAGCGAAGGCGGCACUCUGGGCCGAUACUGACACUGAGGAGCGAAAGCGUGGGGAGCGAACAGG
rnacentral:rRNA from 1 species